CACCUUCCUGGCAACAAGACUCCUGUGGCUGCUGAGGGGAACUCCAGUCCGAUUGACGACAACGGCCGCGAUAACAGCAUGGCUUCGCUCCUGUCCCAGGCAUCUGCAUCGCCCAAGAUUGCUCGCCUUUUCUCAAGGCCGCUAACCAAAGAGCAGAUGGAGGCAAUCAUGGAAUUGGUCAACCAAGGGGUAGAGAAGACAGGGCAUAAGAGGAGGGGACGCAAGGUGACUCCCAUUGCUUCCCCAACCAUCAGGGCUGUGGGGGAUGCCUGAGAUCUCUUCGCGGUGGCAGUUUUUAUUCUUAUGAUGCAUGUGAUCUGCUGCUCCUGGUUCCCUCAGUGGAGUGUUUUAGUUCUGUCUGUAGCUGUUCCAUUUGAAGUGGCGUGGUCUUGGCUGUUUUGGCCUGGGCGUCCUGUGCUUUUGUGUCGGCUGUCCUCCAUUCUGUUUGUGUGGGGAGAGCUUUAUGUCUGUAAUCUGCGUUGUCUGUGUUGGGAGUUGUUAGGUGUUUGGCUGCAGUCCGUGUCUGUCUGCGGUUCUGUCCCUAGUACUUCUUGUCUUUCAAGUGGAAGUGGUAAUUCC